rnacentral:rRNA from 1 species
CGGUGUUUAACUGGCGUGAUGUGGGACGUCCUACCGGUGGGCUUAGCCUCGCGAGGGGCGGCCCAACUAAUAUCCCGUCGCGGUGCUCUUUACUGAGUGUCGAGUCGGGCCGGUACGUUUACUUUGAACAAAUUAGAGUGCUUAAAGCAGGGCUAUCCUCGCCUGAAUACUGCGUGCAUGGAAUAAUGGAAUAGGACCUCGGUUCUAUUUUGUUGGUUUUCGGAACCCCGAGGUAAUGAUUAAUAGGGACAGAUGGGGGCAUUCGUAUUGCGACGUUAGAGGUGAAAUUCUUGGAUCGUCGCAAGACGGACAGAAGCGAAAGCAUUUGCCAAAAAUGUUUUCAUUAAUCAAGAACGAAAGUUAGAGGUUCGAAGGCGAUCAGAUACCGCCCUAGUUCUAACCAUAAACGAUGCCAGCUAGCGAUCCGCCGAAGUUCCUCCGAUGACUCGGCGGGCAGCUUCCGGGAAACCAAAGCUUUUGGGUUCCGGGGGAAGUAUGGUUGCAAAGCUGAAACUUAAAGGAAUUGACGGAAGGGCACCACCAGGAGUGGAGCCUGCGGCUUAAUUUGACUCAACACGGGAAACCUCACCAGGCCCAGACACCGGAAGGAUUGACAGAUUGAUAGCUCUUUCUUGAUUCGGUGGGUGGUGGUGCAUGGCCGUUCUUAGUUGGUGGAGCGAUUUGUCUGGUUAAUUCCGAUAACGAACGAGACUCUAGCCUGCUAAAUAGGCGUACCUUAUGGUAUCGCGAAGGCCCCCGGCUUCGGCCGGUGGGUUUUUACUACCAACGUACAAACAAAUCUUCUUAGAGGGACAGGCGG